GACGAACGCUGGCGGCGUGCUUAACACAUGCAAGUCGAGCGGUAAGGCCCUUUCGGGGGUACACGAGCGGCGAACGGGUGAGUAACACGUGGGUGACCUGCCCUCAGCUCUGGGAUAAGCCCGGGAAACUGGGUCUAAUACCGGAUAUGACUCCACGGUGCAUGUCGUGGGGUGGAAAGCCUUGUGCGGCUGAGGAUGGGCCCGCGGCCUAUCAGCUUGUUGGUGGGGUGAUGGCCUACCAAGGCGACGACGGGUAGCCGGCCUGAGAGGGCGACCGGCCACACUGGGACUGAGACACGGCCCAGACUCCUACGGGAGGCAGCAGUGGGGAAUCUUGCGCAAUGGGCGAAAGCCUGACGCAGCGACGCCGCGUGAGGGAUGACGGCCUGUGUAA
rnacentral:rRNA from 1 species